UCGGCGGGCCGCGGCGGUGGGAGUGUGUGAACCGCGUCAGGGCCGGGAGGCAGCAGCGCUAAGCAUUCCUUCCAGGCGCCGCGGUUUCUCUCCCGGGC
rnacentral:SRP_RNA from 1 species